ensembl:lncRNA
UGAAACUGUACUGCUCCUGCUGCUACCAUUGCAUGAGGCUCAGAAAGAACCACAAUCUCAUUUGAGGAAUCGAAAAGUCCAUCUUCCUGAAUCAAUUUUCUAUCAAAAAGAGCUGCUUUUGUUGGCCAUAAAUGACUUGCUGUUGCCACAGCAGUAGUGGUAAUAAGGUGCAGAAUCCUUCCAUUAUCCCGUGGCUUAAUCCUGCGGUCGGCUCUGGAAAGGCCACCAGGCAGAGAAAGGUCGACUCACAUGCAGGGAAGCGGGAAAGCCGACAUUUCUUAAAAACAUUGGGGUAACGUUAAUCCUUCAGCGCUGAUGAGAAGGACAACACCUCAGUGAAAGGUCACCCUGCAGCGGCUGUAUGAAAUGGAUUCCUGGUGCACUGCUUGCCCAAUUUGGUGGCGAUGGAGGUCAACGCUGUAUCAAAGAGGGCAUGGAAAACCCUGCUCAUCUAUUCCCAGGUUGGCUCAAAUAAAUUACAUUCAUUAUGCAUGGCUGCCGUAGUUUAUUGGAAACGAGUCGAUUGUGAUAAAGCUGCAACCAUACUAACCCAUCUCAGCUCACACCCUACGGCCUUCAGCAGAACCAUCAGCUUUACUACAACAGGUAUGAAAGAAAGCUUGGGAAUGUUCCUUUUAUCUGUAGUAAUCCAUCAAUUAUGAAAUUGAAUUGGCUGGUGCAUGCAUUAUGCAGAGUGUUGCUUUAAUUCAGCCUGUGUAAUUCAGGGAGGAGCGGUUAACCUUCACACGGAUUAGUAGGUCUCCAAACAGUAGCAAACACACAGUACAGCUGCGUCACGCUGCCACAGCAAAG